AGCGAACGCUGGCGGCAGGCCUAACACAUGCAAGUCGAACGAACUCUUCGGAGUUAGUGGCGGACGGGUGAGUAACACGUGGGAACGUGCCUUUAGGUUCGGAAUAACUCAGGGAAACUUGUGCUAAUACCGAAUGUGCCCUUCGGGGGAAAGAUUUAUCGCCUUUAGAGCGGCCCGCGUCUGAUUAGCUAGUUGGUGAGGUAACGGCUCACCAAGGCGACGAUCAGUAGCUGGUCUGAGAGGAUGACCAGCCACACUGGGACUGAGACACGGCCCAGACUCCUACGGGAGGCAGCAGUGGGGAAUCUUGCGCAAUGGGCGAAAGCCUGACGCAGCCAUGCCGCGUGGAUGAUGAAGGUCUUAGGAUUGUAAAAUCCUUUCCCCGGUGAAGAUAAUGACUGUAGCCGGAGAAGAAGCCCCGGCUAACUUCGUGCCAGCCGCCGCCGUAACAC
rnacentral:rRNA from 1 species